AACGUAGGAGACGAACGUUAUCCGGAGUUACUGGGCGUAAAGGGCGUGUAGGCGGUUUGUUAAGUCUGGCGUGAAAGCUCUCGGCUAAACCGGGAGAGGUCGUUGGAUACUGGCAAACUUGAGGAUGGUAGAGGCGUGUGGAAUUCCGGGUGUAGUGGUGAAAUGCGUAGAGAUCCGGAGGAACACCAGUGGCGAAGGCGACACGCUGGGCCAUACCUGACGCUAAAGCGCGACAGCAUGGGGGAGCAAACGGG
rnacentral:rRNA from 1 species